GAAUGACCCCACUGGCUUCCUACCCUGUGAAAAGUCCUGAAGUGUAUGUACAUACCUGACCUGUUCCAGGAUUACAAAAUCUCAUGGUCCUCUUACAUGGCAGAGGUCAGAAUCUACCAAGAUGAGCAUUAACUUCUAUAGAGAACAAAGCACUAAGCUUUCUGGAUAGAAAAAGUCUCUUCCUUUAGCUUCUCCAGACAGACUGAGAAGAUUGUCAUAUUUACCAUG